AGUGAACGCUGGCGGUAGGCCUAACACAUGCAAGUCGAACGGCAGCACAGGAGAGCUUGCUCUCUGGGUGGCGAGUGGCGGACGGGUGAGGAAUACAUCGGAAUCUACUUUUUCGUGGGGGAUAACGUAGGGAAACUUACGCUAAUACCGCAUACGACCUACGGGUGAAAGCAGGGGAUCUUCGGACCUUGCGCGAUUCAAUGAGCCGAUGUCGGAUUAGCUAGUUGGCGGGGUAAAGGCCCACCAAGGCGACGAUCCGUAGCUGGUCUGAGAGGAUGAUCAGCCACACUGGAACUGAGACACGGUCCAGACUCCUACGGGAGGCAGCAGUGGGGAAUAUUGGACAAUGGGCGCAAGCCUGAUCCAGCCAUACCGCGUGGGUGAAGAAGGCCUUCGGAUUGUAAAGCCCUUUUGUUGGGAAAGAAAUCCAGCUGGUUAAUACCCGGUUGGGAUGACGGUACCCAAAGAAUAAGCACCGGCUAACUUCGUGCCAGCCGCCGCGGUAA
rnacentral:rRNA from 1 species